UCCCCCAAAACAACAAAAAAMYCCCCUUUUAAGGGGAUUUUUGGUUGGGGGGGGGGCCCGGGUGGUUGAGGCCCCCGGCGGGCGGGCCCUUUAAACGGGAAGGGUUUCGGGSCCAACUUGCGUUUCAAAAAACCCGGUGGUUUCAACGGGUUUUUGCCAUUCCACAACCCAGAAUCCGCCUUUUUGGUAACCUUUUUUUAAACGGUGCCUGGGCCCAAAUUUUCCGUGGCCCAGAGUCGUUUUUGAUUCAAGGGGGGAAACGCCCGAAAUGCACACCGCAAACGGGCAUAACACGUCGAGUCCCCCCUCGUGUAUUGUUUUCCCUGGCACCCGCCGUGCCGGGGUUUGUUAAAUUCCAACCAUACCUGCCUGAUAGCCCCAAAGAGAAAGCCUGCCGGCACGCUGGAGGUGUUGAGGAUCAAAACCCAAAUCUAUCUUCCCAUCACCCGAUUGUAUAUACGUGUUCACACGUCCUUUUGCCCUGCCGGGUUCGACACUGAUCCCCUUUCUGUAGGGGKGACCUGCGGAAGGAUCAUUGUCGAACCCUGCAAGGCAGAACGACCUGUGAACACGUAAAUACAAUCGGGUGAUGGGGAGAUAGAUCUUGGUUUUGAUCCUCAACACCUCCCAGCGUGCCYGCAUGCUUUCUCUUUUGGGCUAUCAUGCAUGUAUUGUUGGACUUUAACAAACCCCCGGCACGGCAUGUGHCAAGGAAAACAAUAAACGAGAAGGACUCGACUUGUUAUGCCCCGUSUGCGGUGUGCAUUUCRAGCGUGUCCUCCUUUGAAUCAGAAAMGACUCUCGGCAAMGGAUAUCUCGGCUCACGCAUCGAUGAAGAACGUAGCAAAAUGCGAUACUUGGUGUGAAUUGCAGAAUCCCGUGWACCAUCGAGUUUUUGAACGCAAGUUGCGCCCGAAGCCAUCCGGUUGAGGGCACGCCUGCSUGGGCGUCACGCAUCGCGUCGCCCCCCAUCAUAAUUCCCUUAAGGGUAGUCGUGGUGAUUGGGAGCGGAGAUUGGCCUCCCGUGCUUGUUGUGCGGUUGGUCAAAAUAGGAGUCCCCUUUGGUGGACACACGGCUAGUGGUGGUUGUAAAGACCCUUUUCUUUYGCUGUGUGUCGUGAGCUGCUAGGGAAACCCUCAAAAAAGACCCCAUUGUUUCGUCCUAGGACGAUGCUUCGACCGCGACCCCCAGGUUCAGGCGGAUCCCAKGUWGCGCCUUC
rnacentral:misc_RNA from 1 species